rnacentral:rRNA from 1 species
AUUGAACGCUGGCGGCAGGCUUAACACAUGCAAGUCGAGCGGAGAUGAGGUGCUUGCACCUUAUCUUAGCGGCGGACGGGUGAGUAAUGCUUAGGAAUCUGCCUAUUAGUGGGGGACAACAUUCCGAAAGGAAUGCUAAUACCGCAUACGUCCUACGGGAGAAAGCAGGGGAUCUUCGGACCUUGCGCUAAUAGAUGAGCCUAAGUCGGAUUAGCUAGUUGGUGGGGUAAAGGCCUACCAAGGCGACGAUCUGUAGCGGGUCUGAGAGGAUGAUCCGCCACACUGGGACUGAGACACGGCCCAGACUCCUACGGGAGGCAGCAGUGGGGAAUAUUGGACAAUGGGGGAAACCCUGAUCCAGCCAUGCCGCGUGUGUGAAGAAGGCCUUAUGGUUGUAAAGCACUUUAAGCGAGGAGGAGGCUACUGAGACUAAUACUCUUGGAUAGUGGACGUUACUCGCAGAAUAAGCACCGGCUAACUCUGUGCCAGCAGCCGCAGUAA